AGUUUCUUUCUUUCUAAGCAUGAUGGCACAAGGAAUGGCACAAUUAAACUUGCUCUCUUAUGUUUGUGCUGUACCAUUCUUUCUGCAACUGGAGCAAUGUCAACAACAAAUGUUCCAUCAACUGCAUCCCAACAAUCCACUACCAGCAAAUCAGCUCCAACCUCAUCAACACUUGCUCUGACA